CACGUAGGGGGCAAGCGUUGUCCGGAUUUAUUGGGCGUAAAGAGCUCGUAGGCGGCUUGGUAAGUCAGGUGUGAAACCCCCGGGCUCAACCCGGGGACGCCACCUGAUACUGCUAUGGCUUGAGUCCGGUAGGGGAGCGUGGAAUUCCUGGUGUAGCGGUGAAAUGCGCAGAUAUCAGGAGGAACACCAGCGGCGAAGGCGGCGCUCUGGGCCGGAACUGACGCUGAGGAGCGAAAGCGUGGGGAGCAAACAGG
rnacentral:rRNA from 1 species